UACGAAGGUGGCAAGCGUUGUUCGGAUUUACUGGGCGUACAGGGAGCGUAGGCGGUUGGAUAAGCCCUCCGUGAAAUCUCCAGGCUUAACCUGGAAAGUGCAGAGGGGACUGUUCAGCUAGAGGAUGGGAGAGGAGCGCGGAAUUCCCGGUGUAGCGGUGAAAUGCGUAGAGAUCGGGAGGAACACCGGUGGCGAAGGCGGCGACCUGGGUAGAUACUGACGCUGAGGUGCGAAAGCGUGGGGAGCAAACAGG
rnacentral:rRNA from 1 species